rnacentral:rRNA from 1 species
AGAGUUUGAUCCUGGCUCAGAUUGAACGCUGGCGGCAUGCCUAACGCAUGCAAGUCGAACGGAAACGAUGGGAGCUUGCUCCCAGGCGUCGAGUGGCGGACGGGUGAGUAAUACUUAGGAAUCUACCCAGUAGCGGGGGACAACUCGAGGAAACUCGAGCUAAUACCGCAUACGCCCUACGGGGGAAAGCAGGGGAUCUUCGGACCUUGCACUAUUGGAUGAGCCUAAGUCGGAUUAGCUUGUUGGUGAGGUAAAGGCUCACCAAGGCGACGAUCCGUAGCUGGUCUGAGAGGACGAUCAGCCACACUGGGACUGAGACACGGCCCAGACUCCUACGGGAGGCAGCAGUGGGGAAUAUUGGACAAUGGGGGCAACCCUGAUCCAGCAAUGCCGCGUGUGUGAAGAAGGCCUGCGGGUUGUAAAGCACUUUCAGUAGAGAAGAAAAGCCCACGGCUAAUACCCGUGAGUCUUGACGUUACCUACAGAAGAAGCUCCGGCUAACUCCGUGCCAGCAGCCGCGGUAAUACGGAGGGAGCGAGCGUUAAUCGGAAUUACUGGGCGUAAAGCGCGCGUAGGCGGCUUUGUAAGUCGGAUGUGAAAGCCCUGGGCUCAACCUGGGAAUGGCAUUCGAUACUGCAGAGCUAGAGUAUGGUAGAGGGGAGUGGAAUUUCCGGUGUAGCGGUGAAAUGCGUACAUAUC